rnacentral:rRNA from 1 species
CCUACGGGGGGCUGCAGCAACGAAUCUUCCCCAAUGCCCGAAAGGGUGAGGGAGCGACGCCGCGUGGAGGAUGAAGUCCUUCGGGAUGUAAACUCCUGUUAGGGUUACGAAAGCGAUGCGCGUGAAUAAUGCGCAAAGUUGAUCUAGCCCAAAGAAAGGGGCGGCUAACUCUGUGCCAGCAGCCGCGGUAAUACAGAGGCCCCAAGCGUUACUGAGAAUCACUGGGUUUAAAGGGUGCGUAGGUGGCGCGUUAAGUCCGUUGUGAAAUCCCUUGGCUCAACCAAGGAACGGCUUCGGAUACUGGCGUGCUUGAGGCCGGUAGGGGUCACUGGAACAGACGGUGGAGCGGUGAAAUGCGUAGAUAUCGUCUGGAACGCCGGUGGUGAAGACGGGUGACUGGGCCGGUUCUGACACUGAGGCACGAAAGCGUGGGGAGCGAACGGGAUUAGAUACCCGUGUAGUC